rnacentral:rRNA from 1 species
AUUGAACGCUGGCGGCAGGCCUAACACAUGCAAGUCGAACGAGUGGCGGACGGGUGUGUAAUGUCUGGGAAACUGCCCGCUGGAGGGGGAUAACUACUGGACACGUUAGCUAAUACCGCAUACCAUCGGAUGUGCCCAGAUGGGAUUAGCUUGUAGGUGGGGUAAUGGCUCACCUAGGCGACGCUCCCUAGCUGGUCUGAGAGGACGACCAGCCACACUGGAACUGAGAAACGGUCCAGACUCCUACGGGAGGCAGCAGUGGGGAAUAUUGCACAAUGGGCGCAAGCCUGAUGCAGCCAUGCCGCGUGUAGGAAGAAGGCCUGCGGGUGGUAAAGUACUUCCAGCGGGGAGGCGUUACCCUCAGAAGAAGCACCGGCUAACUCCGGGCCAGCAGCCGCGGUAAUAC